rnacentral:rRNA from 1 species
GACAGAGGGUGCAAACGUUGCUCGGAAUCACUGGGCGUAAAGGGCGUGUAGGCGGGAAUGUAAGUCGGGCGUGAAAUCCCUAGGCUCAACCUAGGAACUGCACUCGAAACUGCGUUUCUUGAGUAUCGGAGAGGAAAGCGGAAUACCUGGUGUAGAGGUGAAAUUCGUAGAUAUCAGGUGGAACACCAGUGGCGAAGGCGGCUUUCUGGACGAUAACUGGCGCUGAGACGCGAAAGCGUGGGGAGCAAACAGG